AUGUCUAAGGAAAAUAUUCAUAUCACAAAAUCAGACGGCGGCUUCCACCACCUUCUCCGGUGGUGUAUUCGCCGAUUUGAUGUGAAAGCGCGAAAGCCGACUUUAAAGCUUGAGGAAGAUGAUGCAGAACUGGGCGAUACGGCGUUCUUGAUGCCAAGUAAAAGUGAAGCAAAGCUUCCUUUUGUAGAUAAGAAGAAGGAAAUCUCAAGGUUACGGACGAUCGAGAGAGAGAGAUGGUAA